AUAGAACGCUAGCGAUAGGCUUAACACAUGCAAGUCGAGGGCAUCACGAGGUAGCAAUACUUUGGUGGCGACCGGCGUACGGGUGCGUAACACGUAUGCAACCUUCCUGUAAGUGUGGGAUAGCCUCCUGAAAGGGAGAUUAAUACCUCAUGAUAUGUAUUUGCUGCAUGGCAUUUACAUUAAACAUUUAUGGCUUACAGAUGGGCAUGCGUUCCAUUAGGCAGUUGGUGUGGUAACGGCUCACCAAACCUACGAUGGAUAGGGGUUCUGAGAGGAAGGUCCCCCACACUGGAACUGAGACACGGUCCAGACUCCUACGGGAGGCAGCAGUGAGGAAUAUUGGUCAAUGGGCGCGAGCCUGAACCAGCCACGUCGCGUGAAGGAUGACGGCCUUAUGGGUUGUAAACUUCUUUUACAGGGGAAUAAAGUGAGUCACGUGUGAUUUUUUGCAUGUACCCUGUGAAUAAGCAUCGGCUAACUCCGUG
rnacentral:rRNA from 1 species